GAAAAACUAUUACAUGCGUGACAGGAAUAUAUCGUUACACGCUUUGUUGAAUGCCUUAAAAACUUUGUCAUUAUUUGUAACCUGAGUUGUGAAAGCUGACAGAAGGCAGUUGGGUGACGUAGAGAGAAACCUCUAUAGAAAUGAUAGCGGUGGUGAACUCUUUGGACAUUUGUAAAGUUAAAUUGAGCUAACGAUCAUGCAAAGCUAGCCGGGGUUAUCUGCGUUAGCUCUCCCUAAUUUUGAAACGAUAGCCUAGAGGAAAGGCAAUUAGUCAAUACCACCCAUUGCCAACUCUCAAGCUAUUCUCCUACGAGCGAAUUAUGAGAUUGACCGUCACAUUAUAACGCCUCCAUGGCUGAAAUUACGAGCAUGUUUGAUGACAGGAUUCGAUCCCGUGACUCACAGAUUGUAAGUCGAGUGCCCUAACCCCUAGCUCAUGCCAGGACCGAAAUACUGGUUUCUAUUUUGGUGUACGUAAUACUUCUCUCU